rnacentral:rRNA from 1 species
UACGUAGGAGGCGAGCGUUGUCCGGAAUCACUGGGUGUAAAGCGCGUGUAGGCGGCCUGCCAAGUCUGCUGUGAAAGCGCCUGGCUUAACCGGGCGAGGUCGGUGGAAACUGGCGGGCUGGAGGACGGUAGAGGGGGGUGGAAUUCCCAGUGUAGUGGUGAAACGCGUAGAGAUCGGGAGGAACACCAGUGGCGAAGGCGGCCCCCUGGGCCGUUCCUGACGCUGAGACGCGAAGGCGUGGGUAGCAAACAGG